GAUGAACGCUGGCGGCGUGCCUAAUACAUGCAAGUCGAGCGAACAGAUGAGGAGCUUGCUCCUCUGACGUUAGCGGCGGACGGGUGAGUAACACGUGGAUAACCUACCUCUAAGACUGGGAUAACUUCGGGAAACCGGAGCUAAUACCGGAUAAUAUAUUGAACCGCAUGGUUCAAUAGUGAAAGACGGUUUUGCUGUCACUUAUAGAUGGAUCCGCGCCGCAUUAGCUAGUUGGUAAGGUAGCGGCUUACCAAGGCGACGAUGCGUAGCCGACCUGAGAGGGUGAUCGGCCACACUGGAACUGAGACACGGUCCAGACUCCUACGGGAGGCAGCAGUAGGGAAUCUUCCGCAAUGGGCGAAAGCCUGACGGAGCAACGCCGCGUGAGUGAUGAAGGUCUUCGGAUCGUAAAACUCUGUUAUUAGGGAAGAACAAAUGUGUAAGUAACUAUGCACGUCUUGACGGUACCUAAUCAGAAAGCCACGGCUAACUACGUG
rnacentral:rRNA from 1 species